CACUCCUGCGGGAGGCAGCAGUGGGGAAUAUUGGACAAUGGGCGCAAGCCUGAUCCAGCCAUGCCGCGUGAGUGAUGAAGGCCCUAGGGUUGUAAAGCUCUUUCACCGGUGAAGAUAAUGACGGUAACCGGAGAAGAAGCCCCGGCUAACUUCGUGCCAGCAGCCGCGGUAAUACGAAGGGGGCUAGCGUUGUUCGGAUUUACUGGGCGUAAAGCGCACGUAGGCGGACUAUUAAGUCAGGGGUGAAAUCCCGGGGCUCAACCCCGGAACUGCCUUUGAUACUGGUAGUCUUGAGUUCGAGAGAGGUGAGUGGAAUUCCGAGUGUAGAGGUGAAAUUCGUAGAUAUUCGGAGGAACACCAGUGGCGAAGGCGGCUCACUGGCUCGAUACUGACGCUGAGGUGCGAAAGCGUGGGGAGCAAACAGGAUUAGAAACCCGUGUAGUCCCAUGAU
rnacentral:rRNA from 1 species